rnacentral:rRNA from 1 species
CUGGCGGCGUGCCUAAUACAUGCAAGUCGAGCGGACCGGAUCGGAGCUUGCUCUGAUUUGGUCAGCGGCGGACGGGUGAGUAACACGUGGGCAACCUGCCCGCAAGACCGGGAUAACUCCGGGAAACCGGAGCUAAUACCGGAUAACACCGAAGACCGCAUGGUCUUUGGUUGAAAGGCGGCCUUUGGCUGUCACUUGCGGAUGGGCCCGCGGCGCAUUAGCUAGUUGGUGAGGUAACGGCUCACCAAGGCGACGAUGCGUAGCCGGCCUGAGAGGGUGACCGGCCACACUGGGACUGAGACACGGCCCAGACUCCUACGGGAGGCAGCAGUAGGGAAUCUUCCGCAAUGGGCGAAAGCCUGACGGAGCGACGCCGCGUGAGCGAAGAAGGCCUUCGGGUCGUAAAGCUCUGUUGUGAGGGACGAAGGAGCGCCGUUCGAAGAGGGCGGCGCGGUGACGGUACCUCACGAGGAAGCCCCGGCUAACUAC